rnacentral:rRNA from 1 species
UGGCUCAGAACGAACGCUGGCGGCGUGCUUAACACAUGCAAGUCGAGCAGAAAGGCCCUUCGGGGUACUCGAGCGGCGAACGGGUGAGUAACACGUGAGCAACCUGCCCCUAGCAAUGGGAUAACCCCGGGAAACCGGGGCUAAUACCGGAUACGACCUCGGUGGGCAUCAUCCGAGGUGGAAAGGGUUACUGGAUAGGGACGGGCCCGCGGCCUAUCAGCUAGUGGGGGGGUAACGUCCCACCAAGGCGAGGGAACGUAGCCGGCCUGAGAGGGCGACAGGCCACAUUGGGA